ensembl:miRNA
GGUUUCUUUGUGUAGCCCUGACUGUCCUGGCACUCACUCUGUAGACCAGGCUGGCCUUGAACUCACAGAGAAUCACCUGUCUCUGUCUUCCGAGUGCUGGGAUUAAAGGUGUGCGCCACCACUGCCUG